rnacentral:rRNA from 1 species
UACGUAGGGGGCAAGCGUUGUCCGGAAUCAUUGGGCGUAAAGAGCGUGUAGGCGGCCCGGUAAGUCCGCUGUGAAAGUCCAGGGCUCAACCCUGGGAUGCCGGUGGAUACUGUCGGGCUCGAGUCCGGAAGAGGAGUGUGGAAUUCCUGGUGUAGCGGUGAAAUGCGCAGAUAUCAGGAGGAACACCAAUGGCGAAGGCAGCACUCUGGGACGUGACUGACGGCUGAGA